UCCCCCCCCCCCUCCCGAUGGCAUUCCACCGCCGCUCCAUCGCCUCCCUGGCGCAGCGGCCGCUCCAUCAUCUCUCCUCAGGGCAAUCUCUUCCUAUCUAUCACUUCUCCACCGAUUCCCACCCCAGCAGCCCGCAACCUCUAUCCAGGCCUCACAAGAUCUUGUCAACCCCCAACUAGGUUGGGCAGAGGCCUCCAGCCGAGUCGGAGGAGAACACUACCACUGAGGGAUCAAACCCUAGAACCGCAGGCGGCUGUGCGGAGGAUUGAGGUCGACGAUGGUGGUCGCAGCAGGUCAUCAGCUCAGCUCGCCCUCUUCUCUCUCCCACUGCCCCCAUCACCAUCACCCUCUCCUUCAUGCGUUCUUGCUCGUCUUUAGGCAUGUGUGCGAAGGCUCGCCAUGGACAAUCAAGACGGCGGAGUGAGGCGCAGCCGCGCAGUUUCGCAUUUGCUGUCCUACAACCCUGCUCCUUGUCGUCUGCACUGCGUAAACAAAUGCUUUGAUGAGGAUGCUUAAUUGGUCUGACAAUCGUAUAUUGCAAAAUGUACAACUAGAGGAACAUCUAGCAGCAAGUACUUAAGGUUGUAUGUCUCCUAGGUUGAAUCAUUCACUAUGAGUUUUAAGAAUGGUUGAUCAAAUGGAGAUGUUCAGCUCUAAGUAAAGCAGACCUUAUGAUGGAGAAGAUAUGUAGGCAAAAUUGCUGGCACGAUAUUGGGCAUAGCUGAUGCAGCAUAGGUUGAUGAAAGUUGCAUUAAACAUGAUGGACAUCGCCCACAAUGACAUUGCAUGUGUGAUGAACUUGCCAUCUCAUAAGUGGGACAAGACCAGAUAGUUUGUUGGCGAGAUCAGCGAUGUGAUUCAGGCAAAUUAAGGGUGCAAUGAACCAUCUGGAAAUGUUCAGUUCUCAAGUGUACUCACAAGUAAGUAGUUACACUGACAUAAGAUUUUGUUUCAGAUUCUGUAUGACAACGGCGCAAGGAAGUUCUGGAUACACGUCGCAGGUGCCCCUUGGCUGCCUGUGGGUGUUCGUGAUGUGGGAGCAGGGUGAACUCCACACAUAGGUCUACAUUGUGAACCACAACCGAGUUGACAUGGGCCUUAAAAAGAAGCUGAGUGACCUCUGCGACGAGGUGCGGUUGCGCUCGAAGAAUGCCAUCAAGUAUGGCUUAUUUGACAACCACACCAAAUACGGGUAAAGCAGUCAGGAGACUGUCGAUGAGCUCAACACAAGGAGUGGACGAGCUGAAGAAUGAGCCUCGGUUUCCAAGCUUAAGCAGAAGAACGUUGUUAGGCUUCUUGGUGUCUGCUUGGAGUACCAGAAGCGGCUUCUCGUCUACGAGUACGCCUCAAACCAGAGGCUUAUUUCAGUUUGUAUCUCCAUCUUCUCUUCAGUGUUUCAUGCUUUCUUAACUUAUUUCAGUUUGUAGAUACAAUAGUAUAUAUUUUCUUGUACAGAUUUCAUGUAAUCGAUAUAGGGUAGACAUGGCUAAUUAACUCAAUUUCAUUUGAUUCGCAGCUUUAUAAACAUCUAACUUGUAAAUAUUACCACUUAUGCCAGAUUUAUUCCAGUUAAUGCAGGACUCUAAUCAAUGGUUAGGAUUAAUUAUCUAUGAGUUAAAUUGUGUUGUUAAUUUAGAUUGGCCAGCUAAUGUGUGCAUCCUACACUGAGUAGCUCGGCCUGGGCAGAACCAGUCGUGAUCUAGAACUGAUGUCCUCCACCCUAUUUAGUUAGUUGAUUGGUCAAUGCAUGCAUCCAGCCUAAAACUAAAAGAGAAGCAAAGUUUCAUCUCUGGAGUCCGUAAAUAAGGUCAUAAGUUGAAUUGCGAUGGAUCCAGAGCAAAGUUUCCUACUUGGGUAAUAUAUGACCAAUCCUGCUUUCACAUGUUGCAUUGUGUUGUCCAACAGUUUAUUUUUUUAGGCUACACUGAAGUUGCAAAAACUGUUAAUUCGUCGACUUAAACUUUGGUUUAGCAAAAGUGGUUUUAGAUAAAACAUCUAAUGCCCAUGGAUGUCAUAAUUAUCUAGCAAAUGAUUGUCAAUAUACUGUUUCAGUUUUCGUAUACAAACUGCUGAGUAUAGUGUUAUCCAAAUGCCCACCAUCAUUCUUACCUAUAUUUGGAGCUAUACAGUUUUUAUCUGUUUCAGUGUCGUUUAAAUUAUAGCAUCAUGUUCUUCUGAUGCUGCUAUUAUAUUGAUUCGUCUGCUUAUGGAUAGCUCCUGUAAGUGCAGAUAUGGUUGGUGACCUGGAACGUUGGCGUUCUUGGCCUGGUCACGCUGUCAGGCAACAGAGGAAGAGGGGCCUGAGAAAUCAGAAAUGGACAAACAUAUCAGCCUGAAAGGUGAAUAUCUAGGCGUGGACUCAAUCACCAGAAGCUUGUCCGUCAAGUGCAGCAGUGCCAGCGGCGCACGGCUGUUGAAAUGGCACAAUGCUCCUUUUCCACUGAACUUCACAUCUAUUAAAUGUUUUUUGCUCAUGUAUCUCUGCAGGCCUACUUCGGCAUGGAGGCAACGCUCUGGUGACCCUGUACAUGGCAGUAUGGGUAAGGGCCAGAUCUUGGUGAACGGCCACAGCGCAGGGAUAUGUGUGAAGAGUUUGCAGGGAAGUGGAAAAGCGAUGUCAGUUCAUCAUAAUACAUUAACUGGUUUUGUAAGUUGUUAAACCUGCAAAUACAAUGCUCAGACGUUGUGAUUGGAGUGCACUUGGCCGGCGAGGAGGUGCUUGUUAGACCAUUAGACAUUCAUGUACAUGCUCGAACCUACUUCCAGGAUGUUCGAUUAUCUAUUUUUUAAGAUGGCCGACUAGGAUGUCCACAAUCA